GGCAGCAGUCAUAUCACCCAGCAUCUCACAACUGGCAGCCCACCAAAGCUCAGCAGGUGUGAGCCUGGUUGGUACCUGGAUGGGAGACCUCCUGGGAAAAACUAAGGUUGCUGCUGGAA
rnacentral:rRNA from 1 species